rnacentral:pre_miRNA from 1 species
UUAGGGGUAGGAGGGGAUCCCUCAGCUCGGAUUUUGAGAGGGUGCAGGCCAGGCCGAGGGACCCCACUGGUGCAUG